CUCUCCAUUGGAGUUACUCUAAC
rnacentral:snRNA from 1 species